rnacentral:rRNA from 1 species
GGAGCCUACGGGGCGCAGCAGUGGGGAAUAUUGCACAAUGGGGGAAACCCUGAUGCAGCAACGCCGCGUGAAGGAAGACGGUUUUCGGAUUGUAAACUUCUGUUCUUAGUGAAGAAGAAUGACGGUAGCUAAGGAGCAAGCCACGGCUAACUACGUGCCAGCAGCCGCGGUAAUACGUAGGUGGCAAGCGUUGUCCGGAAUUACUGGGUGUAAAGGGAGCGCAGGCGGGAAGCCAAGUCAGCUGUGAAAACUACGGGCUUAACUUGUAGCAUGCAGUUGAAAAUGGUUUUCUUGAGAGAAGUAGG